UGGGGAAUUUUGGACAAUGGGGGCAACCCUGAUCCAGCCAUCCCGCGUGUGCGAUGAAGGCCUUCGGGUUGUAAAGCACUUUUUGGCAGGGAAGAAACAGCCUGGGAUAAUACCCCGGGCGACUGACGGUACCUGCAGAAUAAGCACCGGCUAACUACGUGCCAGCAGCCGCGGUAAUACGUAGGGUGCAAGCGUUAAUCGGAAUUACUGGGCGUAAAGCGUGCGCAGGCGGUUCGGAAAGAAAGGUGUGAAAUCCCAGGGCUUAACCUUGGAACUGCACUUUUAACUACCGAGCUAGAGUACGUCAGAGGGGGGUAGAAUUCCACGUGUAGCAGUGAAAUGCGUAGAGAUGUGGAGGAAUACCGAUGGCGAAGGCAGCCCCCUGGGAUGAUACUGACGCUCAUGCACGAAAGCGUGGGGAGCAAACAGGAUUAGAUACCCUGGUAGUCCACGCCCUAAAACGAUGUCAACUAGCUGUUGGGGUUUUAUU
rnacentral:rRNA from 1 species